CACGUAGUUAGCCGGGGCUUCUUAGUCAGGUACUGUCAUUUUCUUCCCUGCUGAUAGAGCUUUACAUACCGAAAUACUUCUUCACUCACGCGGCGUUGCUGCAUCAGGGUUUUCCCCCCAUUGUGCAAAUACUUCCCCACUGCUGCCCUCCCGUAGGAGUUUGGGCCGUGUCUCAGUCCCAAUGUGGCCGGUCACCCUCUCAGGCCGGCUACUGAUCGUCGCCUUGGUGAGCCGUUACCUCACCAACCAGCUAAUCAGACGCGGGUCCAUCUUACACCGAUAGCUCUUUUCCGUCAGGGUCAUGCGACCCCAGCGGGGUUAUGCGGUAUUAGCAGUCAUUUCUAACUGUUAUCCCCCUGUGUAAGGCAGGUUACCCACGCGUUACUCACCCGUCCGCCGCUCAGUCAAAACCAUCUUCAUUCCGAAGAAAACUUCAAAUAGAGUGCUUCGCUCGACUUGCAUGUGUUAAGCACGCCGCCAGCGUCAUCUGAGCACGAGCAAU
rnacentral:rRNA from 1 species